rnacentral:rRNA from 1 species
GACGAACGCUGGCGGCGUGCCUAAUACAUGCAAGUCGAGCGAAGCGGGGACGGGUGAGUAACACGUAAGGAACCUCCGAUAAGCGGGGGACAACAUCCGGAAACGGGUGCUAAACCGCCUCCUUAUCGAUGUCCUUGCGGUGAAUUAGCUCGUUGGUGGGGUAACGGCCUACCAAGGCAAUGAUGCGUAGCCGACCUGAGAGGUUAAUCGGCCACAUUGGGACUGAGACACGGCCCAAACUCCUACGUGAGGCAGCAGUAGGGAAUCGUCCGCAAUGGGCGCAAGCCUGACGGAGCAACGCCGCGUGAGUGAAGAAGGUUUUCGGAUCGUAAAGCUCUGUUGUAAGAGAAGCGGUAUCUUACCAGAAAGCCACGGCUAACUACGUGCCAGCAGCCGCGGUAAUAC